rnacentral:rRNA from 1 species
AAGGAUCAUUUCUGAAGGCUUUUUGCCAAAACCACUGUGAACAGCUUAGACUUCGGUCUUUGCAAUUGCUUGGGUGUCGAAAGGCGCCCAAUCUUUAAAACUUUUAUAUUUGUUCUGAAACAAUGAAAAUUUAAAACUUUCAACAACGGAUCUCUUGGUUCUCGUAUCGAUGAAGAACGCAGCAAAGCGCGAUAGGUAAUGCGAAUUGCAGACGUGAGUCAUUGAAUUUUUGAACGCAUAUUGCGCUAUUAGUUUGUCUAAUAGCAUGCUUGUUGGAGUGAUAAUCUUCCUCUCAACCAUUUUUGGUAUGAGGUCUUGCUCCUUUUAGGAGUUAAAAUCAUGGAAGUGCACACGUUAAUUAACUCUGUGCAGUUAUACACUUUUCAUCCUCCAAUCAAGCAAGGUUACCCGCUGAACUUAA